CCUACGGGGUGCAGCAGUGAGGAAUAUUGGUCAAUGGACGCGAGUCUGAACCAGCCAAGUCGCGUGAAGGAUGAAUGCCCUAUGGGUGGUAAACUUCUUUUAUAAAGGAAUAUAACGAGGCACGUGUGCCUUUUUGCAUGUACUUUAUGAAUAAGGAUCGGCUAACUCCGUGCCAGCAGCCGCGGUAAUACGGAGGAUACGAGCGUUAUCCGGAUUUAUUGGGUUUAAGGGGAGCGUAGAUGGGUUGUUAAGUCGGUUGUGAAAGUUUGCGGCUCAACCGUAAAAUUGCAAUUGAUACUGGCAGUCUUGAGUACAGGUGAGGUAGGCGGAAUUCGUGGUGUAGCGGUGAAAUGCUUAGAUAUCACGAAGAACCCCGAUGGCGAAGGCAGCUUACUAAACUGUGACUGACAUUGAUGCUCGAAAGUGUGGGUAUCAAACAGGAUUAGAUACCCGGGUAGUC
rnacentral:rRNA from 1 species